AUGCCUUCUGCCUUCACUGAAACUGCUCCCUGGAUUAUUUUGACCUCAAGUGCUCAUUCCAAAGAAGGGUUUGUGUGUAAACACCACCUGCGUGGCGGAGCGCGCCCCGAGCCGCUGCUGCUGCUGUGUUCCUUUCUUAUCACUCAAAAUGUGAAAAUGUGGCUGCCUGCACCUCCAGCCCAGGGGCUGCCAGGCUCUGCAGAUGGCAGACACGUUUACACAAUAUUUUAUAGCUCUGAUCAAUAAAAUUAAGGCUUUCCCACCUCUGAUGCUGCGCUGGUAGCUCUCUUUGGCUGCUGGUUGAUCUCUGUCCCUGUGAUUUCCAGCUGAUACUGCCUUUAAAUAUUUGCAUUUAAUUUUGGCAUUGGUGAGCAGCUGGCCUACCUACUGGAUUUUCCUAGAGCCAACAUUUUCUUGGUGUUAUCUAGUGUUCUAAUUUAUUAGCUCCCCUCCUUAGUGAAGAAUUAACUUUGAUCUCCUCAUAUCUGCUCUUGUGUUUGUGGUGAAGGUAGCUUCUCCAAUGCAAACCCUUAUUUUCUGGUUUUAAGGGAAAACUCAGAGGUUAAAAUCAGCCCUUCUCCUCAGCCUGUUGUACCCCAGGGGUGCAGAGCCACCUCCCCUGAGCUGUGCAGCUCUGCAGGUGGGAGCAGGAGCAAACCUGCAUUUCACACCAUGCCUUGGCCUUGUUUGCUGUUUCACCUGGUUUAUCAGCUCAACAUUCAUGUAUCUCCAAUGACUGGAUUAGCACAAACAUUUUUUUAUUGUCCUAGUUCUGAGCAGGGAAAUGGUUGAACCUCCUCAGGGGUUGAAUAAGGAAA
rnacentral:lncRNA from 1 species